ACUAGAAUAAUUCUGAGUGAAAAAAAUGGAUGCUUCCUUCAGGACGGCAGCAGUGGUAGAGAACUGACAAACUUGAAAGUUUACUGCUGAAAAACACACAUGAGUUCAGGAUCAGUAUGGAAGAUGGUUUCUUGUUGGUCUCUCUUGGAUAUUGUGAUAGAUAUUGUGAUACUGAAGAGUAUGGCGUGAAAGGACUGCACAUGGAACAACCUUGGUACCGAGCAGGGACACAUACGGAUGGUUCAAAUUUAAAAGACAAAACAUGAGAUACUGACUCCGUUUACAAGAGAUAAAUGACUUUGUUUUUAUUCAGGUUUUGUAGCUUCUGUUUGUUUUGUUGCUGUUUUGAAAUGUUAUUAUAGAUUUUGUAUAUUAUCGUCUAUCUGUUUGUGAUUUCUCCGUCAUGGCCUAUAUGCAUGGCUAAGAUACCUGGGGUUUGCAUUGGUUUGCACUGAUUGCAAAAACAAAAUUUCCUAUAAAAAAUAUGAUUAUAAAUGUGCAGUAUUGAAAAUUUCUUAAAAAUGUGCAGUAUUAUUAAAAAUUUCUUAAAAUAGGCCCUGGCUCUUUCCUUGGACCAUCAAAUAUCCCUUAAUAGUUAAGUCUGCUCUAGGAAUGAUAAAGCAUAAAAAUAUUUAAACGUCCUGUGACAAACUAUUUAAUUUUGCAUUUCAACAAGAACUCAAAGGCAUCUUGAUUUUGUAUUUGAAGCGCUAAAACUCCUGCGUUUUGUACUAAAAAGAAAUUUUAUCCAACAAACGAGUGGCAUAAGGAUCCCUUAGAACCCAUUUUUCCAAAUGAUGUUGUCAGAUAUCUUUCUGAAAAGUCAAUAGUUUUAUAAGCACGUGUUCAAUGCCUGACCAUAAUUACGCAUAAUUGUACAGGCAUCAUACUAGGCUAGUAGAUGCUA